rnacentral:rRNA from 1 species
CCGAUGGAGGGGGAUAACUACUGGAAACGGUAGCUAAUACCGCAUAACGUCGCAAGACCAAAGAGGGGGACCUUGGGCCUCUGCCAUCGGAUGUGCCCAGAUGGGAUUAGCUAGUAGGUGGGGUAACGGCUCACCUAGGCGACGAUCCCUAGCUGGUCUGAGAGGAUGACCAGCCACACUGGAACUGAGACACGGUCCAG